GCAGUAGCCGCGGGAAUACGUAGGGUGCGAGCGUUAAUCGGAAUUACUGGGCGUAAAGCGUGCGCAGGCGGUUCGUUAAGACAGAUGUGAAAUCCCCGGGCUUAACCUGGGAACUGCAUUUGUGACUGGCGAGCUAGAGUAUGGCAGAGGGGGGUAGAAUUCCACGUGUAGCAGUGAAAUGCGUAGAUAUGUGGAGGAAUACCGAUGGCGAAGGCAGCCCCCUGGGAUAACACUGACGCUCAUGCACGAAAGCGUGGGGAGCAAACAGGAUUAGAGACCCCAGUAGUCCCUGUCUCUUAUAC
rnacentral:rRNA from 1 species